rnacentral:rRNA from 1 species
GCAAGUCGAGCGCUACCUUCGGGUGGAGCGGCGGACGGGUGAGUAACGCGUGGGAAUAUGCCCUUCUCUAAGGAAUAGCCUCUGGAAACGGAGAGUAAUACCUUAUACGCCCUUCGGGGGAAAGAUUUAUCGGAGAAGGAUCAGCCCGCAUAAGAUUAGAUAGUUGGUGGGGUAAUGGCCUACCAAGUCUACGAUCUUUAGCUGGUUUGAGAGGAUGAUC